GCAGUUCUAUCACACACCCAGUAGGCACCACGAUGACGAUCAGAGCUAGACCUGACUAAGGUUUUAUACACACCAGUUCCCCAGUAAAUGCAAAUUUAACAAGAAAAUUAGACAUGUCAUAUGUUCAAAAUGCUCAUGGCAAACAAUCAUUUUGCAUUCCUGCAAAUAAAAUUGUUUUAUACUGUAAGCUGGAGGCGAGUGUAACUUAUUUUUGUAAUAAAGUUUUUAUUUUUUUUAUGUGUCAUUAAUAUAAAUGUGUGUUAGUAUAGAAAAUCUUCUGGUUUAAAAACUUAGAAUUGCACACAUUUCAGUAUGUUCAUUUGUACUUACAUAAUUUUAGAAUAGUGGUUGCCAAUAGCCUGUAUGUUUCCCAUUAAUUGUUUUUUUUUUUUCCUUUCUUUUUUUUUGUUACCUUAAUAAACCAUUUUAGUAUGUUGUAUGUCAGUUACUGGUAUAGCUGGGGCAUAGAGUGUAAUUUAAAAUUUGUCAAUAAGUAUUCAUUGGAAUAUAUGUAAAUGUGCCUUGCCGGUUACUGAAACUUACCUACAAAAUGAGUAUGGGGUGACAAAUUUGUUCCUGGUGCUUAAUGAAACUUUCUUCCACUGAUUUUAUAUAUUACCCUGUGCUUUUUAAAAGUACAUCUCUCAAAUAUUAGUGUAAGUUUGAGGGCUACACAAAACAUGUACAUUUCAUUCUAACAUACUGAGUAUACUAGGUCGUGGAAAGUGGGUCAGUUAAUUGUAGCCUUCAGCAAAAUCAAAUCUCAGUGUAAUCCUUGGUGCUGGCACUUCCCAUGUCCAAGGAGUAAAAUGAUCCUAUUUAAGAGGUCAUUGCCAUGCCUAUUGGCACUUAACUGUCAUACCAUUUUUAACGGACACUGUCAAGGUCUUUUAGUUAAUUCCUGGUUUUAUUUGUUGGGAUAUUUGAACAGGUUUGUUAAACCUAACUGCAUUGUCAAAGAAAGACGAACACUUUUGUGAGUCCACAAAUGUGUUCUUUAAGAAAACAUUAAAGUUUGGAGCUCUUUGGGUUUCAAAGACUUGGCUUUUUUAAUUUGGGGACGUGGGAUGAAACCUUAUGAUUCAAAGGAAAUUGUGAAGAAUUGAUGGUUAUAUUUAAGGGUAAUGUAAACAGUGAUAAUGAAAUGUAGACUCAAGUGAAAAUACUUGACAGUGUUCAUUUUAAUGACUUUGAAUUUAAGCCAUUAUAAUUACUUUUAAAAUUAAAUAUAAUUUGCACUGUUCUGAUAAUGGGUGCAGUUUUUGAGCAAUAUAAUCAGAGCUAAAUAUGCAUGUAGUGAUUAGUGAUGUGAACAAUUAAGUUCUGAGAAGAAAUACUAACCGUGGUAUUUUAAAACUUAAAUUUCUGUAGAAAAAUCAGUAUCAAACACUUACCAGAAGUCAAGAAAAACAGGCAAUGCAUAUAAACAUAAUUUUGAAUGUUGUGUGGCCUAUAAAGCAAUAAUGCAAUUUAUAUGGAAUGUCAUGGAUAUGAGAAAUGGAAAUGCGAAAAUAACUAAUCCUUUAGUAAAAAUGUCAACAUGUUAAAAGGGGGGAUGUUAACUAAUGUAGGUUAUUGCGUUUGUGAUUUGUUUAUGGGUUCUUGGCUUUGACAGCUUCAAAUAAUGGACAGAUGAGAAGUUAAAUUUUGUAUAUAUUGUCAAGGAAAGGAUCUUUAAUAGUCAAGUCCCUUCCUUGUGGUUAAAAAAUAUUAAUGAAUUCUGAUUGUUAAAAAAGUUACCUAACCAAAACAGACGCAAGGUUUUGUUUCUGCAGACUACUUGGCAAUCAAAAGUGUUCAUAAAUUUAGUUUAUCAGUUCUCAGGAAAAUUAUUAUGAGAAAAUUGUGUUAAUUAUAUUCUUGCUCAGCAUGUUUAUUUUUGAAAGAUACUUAGUCACUGAAAUUGAAUCACAUGUUAAAAAUGGAGAACUGAAUUGCACAAAAGGAAUCACAUACUCACAAUGGCAUUUAACACCAUGAGAAACUUUUUACUGAUUAUUGUUAAACUUUUACUGAUUGAUGCAUAUCUGACAAAGUAUAUACAUUUUCUCAUGAUAGAUUAGGAAUACCACAAAUGGAUUGAUGGGGCGAUAUGUGCUAUAUAAUUGUAUAUAAGAUAUUUGAAAAGAUGUAUUUAGUAUUAGAAUGAACAACAAACUACAUGGGAAAAUUAUCUUUAGUACACUUUUUUGAAAUUUUUGGUCAGAAACACCAAAAACAUACUGUUUUGAUGUCAUUAUUUGAUGGGGAGAAAUUAAAAUAUAGAAGGGCUUCAUGCAUUAGGAAAAGGUAGUCCUAGAGUAAAUGGUUGCUCAGGUUCCUAAAAAUUCCAAUAAUACCCUCCGUGACUGUUUUCUCCCCACAUAUAAAUACAAUAAACAGGAAUUCAGUGGUGGGUAUCAAGUUAAUGAAUAAACAACUUACUUUAAGAAUACACUAACAGACUUCUUGGGAUGUUUUUAUGGUGUAGUAUUUACUAGUAAUCUUACCACUCAGUAGGGCAUGCCACUAAAGAUGCCAUUUAUGAACCAUGGCUCACACAGGCAUUUUUAAAAAACUGAGCCAAUAUAUAGAUGGACUUUUGGGGUCUGUCACUUUUUAAAAGUUCUUAAGACAUAAACCAUAUUAGCACCACAGUCUGCCUUCAAUAAUGUACCUGGAAUGUUUUUCAGGACCAGAAGCAUUCAGUUGGACAAACUUUUUUAAAUGCAAAUCAGUAUUACUCUGGGUCAAAGAUUUAAGUUUUUAACAGUAGUCUGGUAAACAUUUAGAAGUCUGACAAUGAGAAACAAAAGCUUGUACCCAAGUAGAAUUUAAUUAAAUUAGUUUUUAGCUUAUGUAAAUUCUUUUACAUUUAUUUAUCCAUAGAAUUUAUAUUUAUUUCGUUCCUUUUGUCUCACUGAAAGCUGUCUGCAGGCUCUUUGAUUUGGAUUAGAUGUGUGAAGUACUGUCUUUCGCCAAAAACCUCAAAUUUCCUGUUUUUUUCCCAAAGUAGUGGGUUUGUGCUUGUUUGGAGAUCAGUUCAAAAACUAUCUGUACUAUCUGUACUGCCUCUGAUGUUAAGAUUUUAUGUAUAGCAUAAGGAAGCUAGCUCUGACUAUAUUUUCCUAAGAAUAAAGACCUAUUUUUGUAGC
rnacentral:lncRNA from 1 species